rnacentral:tRNA from 3 species
GCCACUUUAGCUCAGUAGGUAGAGCACAUCCUUGGUAAGGAUGAGGUCGGCGGUUCGAUUCCGCUAGGUGGCUCCA